UAAUACGGAGGGUGCAAGCGUUAUCCGGAUUCACUGGGUUUAAAGGGUGCGUAGGUGGGUAUGUAAGUCAGAGGUGAAAUCCCCGAGCUUAACUUGGGAACUGCCUUUGAUACUAUAUAUCUUGAAUGCCGUAGAGGUAAGCGGAAUAUGUCAUGUAGCGGUGAAAUGCUUAGAUAUGACAUGGAACACCAAUUGCGAAGGCAGCUUACUAUGCGGUUAUUGACACUGAGGCACGAAAGCGUGGGUAGCAAACAGGAUUAGAUACCCUGGUAGUCCACGCCCUAAACUAUGGAUACUCGACAUACGCGAUACACUGUGUGUGUCUGAGCGAAAGCAUUAAGUAUCCCACCUGGGAAGUACGACCGCAAGGUUGAAACUUAAAUGAAUUGACGG
rnacentral:rRNA from 1 species